UACGGAGGGUGCAAGCGUUAUCCGGAUUCACUGGGCUUAAAGGGUGCGUAGGUGGCGCCAUAAGUCAGGUGUGAAAUCUCGGGGCUCAACCCCGAAACUGCACUUGAUACUGUGGUGCUCGAGUACUGGAGAGGAGAUUGGAAUUUACGGUGUAGCAGUGAAAUGCGUAGAUAUCGUAAGGAAGACCAGUGGCGAAGGCGAAUCUCUGGACAGUUACUGACACUGAGGCACGAAGGCCAGGGGAGCAAACGGG
rnacentral:rRNA from 1 species